GAGGGUGUAGCUCAGUGGCAGAGCGUGUGCUUAACAUGCAUGAGGUCCUGGGUUCAAUCCCCAGUACCUCCC
rnacentral:tRNA from 1 species